GGGGCUAUCUGGUUUUGACAGCAGGUAGAAUGGUUGUGUAAGCACGCCGAGCAAUGAGGCAACGCUCGUUAAUCUCGCUUCAAAAUAUAACUGGCAACACUUCUUAUGCUCUCGCUGCUUAAUCGAAGUAUAGUAGAUUGGCGUAUUCGGGUGCAAGGCGCCUGAACGGGACAUCGCUCCUAGCCGAGUCUGUGGGCUGAAAGGAUAUAGCGGUGCAGAAAUUCACAGAAUAGGUCUCUUUGGCUGCGCAUAGAGACUGACGGCUGACAGCUGAUUGCUGAAGGCACUCAUAGCAGAUAAGCCGGUUGUUGGUGGCUUGGGUCUUGCUGCCGGACGAAAACAAAGGCCAAGAUAAGCGUGUAGAAAGCAUAAGUAUUCCUUGUUUGGACACGGGUUCGACUCCCGUUAGCUCCAC
rnacentral:tmRNA from 1 species